UCCUCCGCUUAUUGAUAUGCUUAAGUUCAGCGGGUA
rnacentral:rRNA from 1 species